AUUCUCUCUUUACUUUUCUAUCUAGGAAAAAUUAAGCAGCUCACCACUCUCUAAAGUCAUAGCUCUUGGAGGACACGAGUUCGUUCUACACAGUUGUUUCUGUGGGAUGAAUGCUGUACAUUUGUCUUUGAGACUGUCACAGUUUCAGUGACGCCCAGAAAAGCAGUACUUGCAUAUUUUUUGAAGAUCUGGGUUGAAAACGAUUUGAUAUCUUUGCAUCUUUUUUCUUCAGAAUUCGAUCAUAAGCGCCGAGACAUUUCCUAUUUAGUUUUCUUUAGGCUCUCUUUCCCUUCUCCAGAGCUUCUCUUUUGGAAGAGCUAGAAUAAGGACCGCCUGAUAAGAGAUUCGUGAUUCAUCCUCAUCUUGGAUUAAGAGCUGCCCAACUUUCAUCUCAGAUAUUCUGUCUCUUGCUGUUCUCUGUUAUCAUAUAGUCCCAGACCUGGAUUUUGAGCUAAAAAAAACAAUCAUGCAUCCCUAAGCUGCAUUGCCAACCCUGCACCUUACACCCUCUACCGCACACGUGGCAAAUCGUUCAUAUUGAUCCUUCCUAGAACCCCAAAUUCUUAUGUUGUUGUACGGCAAUGGAAGUGUGACAAAACAAUGGAAAUUCUCACAUCAACAACAAUGCCCUAGUCUUUUCACCUCCAAUAAAGGCUGAAGCUCCUCGUAUCUUUGAAGGAAGGAAGGAAAGGGCAUUGCAGCCAGCUCAAACUUUUUCUCUUUUUGCUAGCGGUCUAGCGUCACUUUAUUGGUAACAAUUUCUUCUUUUUGGGCAAUGGAAAUACUCAACAGUUGUGCUCUUAAAGAAGGGUGACCCCACACUUCUUCACCCAUUCAAGUAAACUGCAGAGACCCAUAGAAGGAAAUUCACAUCACAUGUUCUGAAUCUGAGCCAGAGCAAGACACCUUUCCAUCCUUUUUAUUUCUUUAUGGAGUGAGUUGUAGCAACACACUUUCUGUUAACAUGAAGACGUGAAAUCCGGGGAACUUUUGCCCAUCCAGACCCGAUGGACAAAAUUACAAACUUACCCCUCUAGUUCGAGGGGAACCCCAUCUGUCAAUGGUGACCCUACAAAUUGACAGGAAAUGUAGUGUGGAGGUGAUAUUUGACCUAAGUGUCAAAAACCUCAAAACCCAUUUUCUUGAACAAAGAGGCUGUUUUUUGUUUUGUUUUGUUUAGUUUAGUUCAGAUCUCUUGGGUCUGCUCUAUAACUCUGCCUAGCAUUGCUUGGUCCUCACACUCCCUAGAAUCCAUAAACGAAUGUUAGGCUUGAGAGACCCACUGUUGUGUAGGGUUGGGUGUGGUGGCGGUCUCGAUGAAUUUAACCUCGGCCCUUGUGCCUGUUUAGUCAGGUUGAGAGUCAGGCUGGCCUCAGAAUUUUAAAAACUGCUAUUAAAGUAAAGGCUUUUAUUUUAUUUUGAUAUAUUAAAUGUUGAAAACUAAAAAUCAAUGUGAACAUGUGGAAAUAGAAAAAGAUGUCACUGUAAUCAUACCGCAUUCUUCUUUUUCAUUCAUAAUUAUAUAAUGCAGGAGCUACUUGGAUCCCAACUUCAGACUAACAAUAAUAAAAAAAAGGUAAUUAGAUCCUAACUUGGAGGGAAAUUUUUGAGUUGAUGAAGGGUAGGGAAGGAAAACCAGAAACAGACAGUGAUUGGUUGCGCAAAUCUAGCUAAUCUGGGCUUCUGGGGUAAGCAAGGUAAGAGGAAGAGAGAGGGAGCUGGAGGGGCUCUGAGAGUUUGGGGGUUAAGGCAAGCAAAGCAAUAAUGCCCAGUUCAAACCGUACCAUACACACCCAUUUCCCUCAUGUCUUGCCCACAUUUAAUUGGCCUCAUUAUGUUUAGACAGUCAGUCACACAGUUGCAGCAGCGUGGGACAGACAGAAGACACGCACACAAGGCAAAGCCUCAAUGUUCUCAGCUUGUUAUUACAACACUGCACACUCUAUUUAACGUGUACGUUUAUUUUGCUUUUCUUAUGAUAGAAGAGAAGAACCCAAUCAUCAAAGGGAUCGCCUCUCAAAGGAAGGAGGAAAAAUCGCUUGUGGAGGGAGUGGUAACGGGAGCGGUGAAAGUAUGGAGAGGCCUCAUGUGGCUGUCACUAUUCGGGAGAGUGAAUCUCCGUUUAUCUUUGUCACCAGAACGUUUGUGAAGCAAAUGGGUUUCCCUGGCUUAUGCAUGGGUUGCUUUGGUUAUAAAAGGAACCCCAUUUCCCAAGUCCAAUCUUCACAACUAGCUCUGCUCUUCCUCCUCUUCUGCUUCUUUGCCUUUUGACGAUGGUGUUGGUGGUGGUGAUAUUGGCGGGACGGCUCAAUCUCUUAAUUUUAUGACAUAGUUCUUCUUCUCCUCUUGCUCUUCUUCAUUAUGAUGUUGUUCAUACUGAAAGUUUAUGCAAAAGUUCUUCCUUCUAAUGACACUAACUUGCUGUUUUGGUUUUGCAUUUGUGACUUACUGCUUCUUGAAGAGAACCCCAUUCCUUUAGACACCAAAGAAAGAAAUGAAGCCAGAUAAAUUUUAUGUAGUAAAUAGCUAGGGGGGGCAGUUAAAACUGUUUUAAGUAGUUGGUGAGUAAAGCUUUGUUUGGAGUCCCUGAAUCUGUAGAGCCAUGAAUGUUCAAACACUGUUUUAUUAUCAAUUUUCAGAUUUUCUGUCAGUCUUUGCUUCUGGACUGGACGUCUAUUCCUAAUGUGUUUUCCUUUUCUCCUUGGAAGACGUGGGGCUACAUAGCAUUCAAAUGAACUAGGAGAUUUCAUUUCAUUUAUGUAUACUAAGUUGGAAAGAAAGAAAAUAUAUUCAUGGGAAUAUGCAUCCUUUGGAUUUUC